CGAGAAAUAACGAGAUCGUUCUCUUUGAGGUCGAUCAUUGGAAUGAGUACAAUCCAGACACUUUAACGAGUAUCUACGAGAGGGCAAGUCUGGUGCCAGCAGCCGCGGUAAUUCCAGCUCUCGUAAGGUAUAGAAUUAUUGCUGUGGUUAAAAAGUUCGUAGUUGGAUUUGCAAGUUGGUGAAAGUCCACUCUAACGAGUGCGUACUCUUUGCCUUCAUUUUGUUGACAUGGGUGCAGGUCGGCUUCGGUUGGCUUGUGCUCGGUUAGCAGGAUUACUUUGAACGGCUCAAGUGCUUAAAGCACGUCUUAUGACUGAAUACCGGUGCAUGGAAUAAUGGAAAAAGGCUACGGCCGAGUUUUAUUGGUUUUAUCGGUUGAAGCAAUGGUUAAAAGGAACAACCGGGGGCAUUCGUAUCGCUACGCGAGAGGUGAAAUUCGUGGACCGUAGCGAGACGCCCAAAAGCGAAGGCACUUGCCAAGAGUGUUUUCAUUAAUCAAGAACGAAAGUCAGAGGUUCGAAGGCGAUUAGAUACCGCCCUAGUUCUGACCGUAAACGAUGCCAACUGUCGAUUCGCUUGUGGAUUUCAUUCAUGAGCGAGGAGGUUCCCGGAAACGAAAGUUUUUCGGUUCCGGGGGAAGUAUGGUUGCAAAGCUGAAACUUAAAGGAAUUGACGGAAGGGCACCACCAGGAGUGGAGCUUGCGGCUUAAUUUGACUCAACACGGGAAAUCUCACCCGGCCAGUACAUUGUAAGGAUUGACAGACUGAUAGCUCUUUCAUGAUUCGGUGAAUGGUGGUGCAUGGCCGUUCUUAGUUCGUGGGCUGGCCUGUCUGGUUUAUUCCGAUAACGAGCGAGACUUUAACUACUAAAUAGUGCGCAAAUUUGCCUUGUGCAUGUUGGUGAUCACUUCUUAGAAGAAUUGGGGGUUUCCAACCUCAAGAGAUUGAGCAAUAACAGGUCUGUGAUGCCCUUAGAUGUUCGGGGCCGCACGCGUGCUACAAUGAUGGUAACAGCGUGAUUGUCCUUUU
rnacentral:rRNA from 1 species